GGGUUUAAAGGGUGCGUAGGCGGCCUGUUAAGUCAGGGGUGAAAGACGGUAGCUCAACUAUCGCAGUGCCCUUGAUACUGAUGGGCUUGAAUGUACUUGAGGUAGGCGGAAUGUGACAAGUAGCGGUGAAAUGCAUAGAUAUGUCACAGAACACCAAUUGCGAAGGCAGCUUACUAAAGUAUGAUUGACGCUGAGGCACGAAAGCGUGGGGAUCAAACAGGAUUAGAUACCCUGGUAGUCCACGCCCUAAACGAUGAACACUCGAUGUUGGCGAUAUACGGUCAGCGUCUAAGCGAAAGCGUUAAGUGUUCCACCUGGGGAGUACGCCCGCAAGGGUGAAACUCAAAGGAAUUGACGGGGGCCCGCACAAGCGGAGGAGCAUGUGGUUUAAUUCGAUGAUACGCGAGGAACCUUACCCGGGCUUGAAAGUUAGUGAAUGUGACAGAGACGUCACAGUUCUUCGGAACACGAAACUAGGUGCUGCAUGGCUGUCGUCAGCUCGUGCCGUGAGGUGUUGGGUUAAGUCCCGCAACGAGCGCAACCCCUAUGUUUAGUUGCCAGCAUUUAAGGUGGGGACUCUAAACAGACUGCCUAUGCAAAUAGAGAGGAAGGAGGGGACGACGUCAAGUCAUCAUGGCCCUUACGUCCGGGGCUACACACGUGCUACAAUGGGCAGUACAGAGGGCCGCUACCUGGCAACAGGAUGCCAAUCUCUUAAAGCUGUUCACAGUUCGGAUCGGGGUCUGCACUCGACCCCGUGAAGUUGGAUUCGCUAGUAAUCGCGUAUCAGCAUGACGCGGUGAAUACGUUCCCGGGUCUUGUACACACCGCCCGUC
rnacentral:rRNA from 1 species